rnacentral:rRNA from 1 species
GACGAACGCUGGCGGCGUGCUUAACACAUGCAAGUCGAACGGAAAGGCCCUGCUUUUGUGGGGUGCUCGAGUGGCGAACGGGUGAGUAACACGUGAGUAACCUGCCCUUGACUUUGGGAUAACUUCAGGAAACUGGGGCUAAUACCGGAUAGGAGCUCCUGCUGCAUGGUGGGGGUUGGAAAGUUUCGGCGGUUGGGGAUGGACUCGCGGCUUAUCAGCUUGUUGGUGGGGUAGUGGCUUACCAAGGCUUUGACGGGUAGCCGGCCUGAGAGGGUGACCGGCCACAUUGGGACGGAGAUACGGCCCAGACUCCGACGGGAGGAAGCAGUGGGGAAUAUUGCACAAUGGGCGGAAGCCUGAUGCAGCAACGCCGCGGGCGGGAUGACGGCCUUAGGGUUGUAAACCGCUUUCGCCUGUGACGAAGCGUGAGUGACGGUAAUGGGUAAAGAAGCACCGGCUAACUACGUGC